rnacentral:tRNA from 1 species
GGAGAGGUGGCUGAGGGGUUGAAAGCGCCAGCUUGCUAAGCUGUUGUACAAAAAGUUUUGUACCAUGGGUUCGAAUCCCAUUCUCUCCG